rnacentral:rRNA from 1 species
AAUGGGUCAGCGACUUAUAUUCUGUAGCAAGGUUAACCGAAUAGGGGAGCCGAAGGGAAACCGAGUCUUAACUGGGCGUUAAGUUGCAGGGUAUAGACCCGAAACCCGGUGAUCUAGCCAUGGGCAGGUUGAAGGUUGGGUAACACUAACUGGAGGACCGAACCGACUAAUGUUGAAAAAUUAGCGGAUGACUUGUGGCUGGGGGUGAAAGGCCAAUCAAACCGGGAGAUAGCUGGUUCUCCCCGAAAGCUAUUUAGGUAGCGCCUCGUGAAUUCAUCUCCGGGGGUAGAGCACUGUUUCGGCAAGGGGGUCAUCCCGACUUACCAACCCGAUGCAAACUGCGAAUACCGGAGAAUGUUAUCACGGGAGACACACGGCGGGUGCUAACGUCCGUCGUGAAGAGGGAAACAACCCAGACCGCCAGCUAAGGUCCCAAAGUCAUGGUUAAGUGGGAAACGAUGUGGGAAGGCCCAGACAGCCAGGAUGUUGGCUUAGAAGCAGCCAUCAUUUAAAGAAAGCGUAAUAGCUCACUGGUCGAGUCGGCCUGCGCGGAAGAUGUAACGGGGCUAAACCAUGCACCGAAGCUGCGGCAGCGACGCUGAUGCGUUGUUGGGUAGGGGAGCGUUCUGUAAGCCUGUGAAGGUGUGCUGUGAGGCAUGCUGGAGGUAUCAGAAGUGCGAAUGCUGACAUAAGUAACGAUAAAGCGGGUGAAAAGCCCGCUCGCCGGAAGACCAAGGGUUCCUGUCCAACGUUAAUCGGGGCAGGGUGAGUCGACCCCUAAGGCGAGGCCGAAAGGCGUAGUCGAUGGGAAACAGGUUAAUAUUCCUGUACUUGGUGUUACUGCGAAGGGGGGACGGAGAAGGCUAUGUUGGCCGGGCGACGGUUGUCCCGGUUUAAGCGUGUAGGCUGGUUUUCCAGGCAAAUCCGGAAAAUCAAGGCUGAGGCGUGAUGACGAGGCACUACGGUGCUGAAGCAACAAAUGCCCUGCUUCCAGGAAAAGCCUCUAAGCAUCAGGUAACAUCAAAUCGUACCCCAAACCGACACAGGUGGUCAGGUAGAGAAUACCAAGGCGCUUGAGAGAACUCGGGUGAAGGAACUAGGCAAAAUGGUGCCGUAACUUCGGGAGAAGGCACGCUGAUAUGUAGGUGAAGUCCCUCGCGGAUGGAGCUGAAAUCAGUCGAAGAUACCAGCUGGCUGCAACUGUUUAUUAAAAACACAGCACUGUGCAAACACGAAAGUGGACGUAUACGGUGUGACGCCUGCCCGGUGC